CCAAUAGCGUAUAUUAAAGUUGUUGCAGUUAAAAAGCUCGUAGUUGAAUUUCGGGAUCAAUAUGUUGGUCGUGCCAUUGGUACGUACUGGCAUUAUUGGUUUCUACCUUCUGAAGAACCUCGAUGUCAUUAAUUUGGUGUCUUGGGGAAUCAGGACUGUUACUUUGAAAAAAUUAGAGUGUUUAAAGCAGGCUCGCGCUUGAAUACAUUAGCAUGGAAUAAUGAAAUAGGACGUUUGAUUCUAUUUUGUUGGUUUCUAGGAUCGACGUAAUGAUUAAUAGGGAUAGUUGGGGGCAUUAGUAUUCAAUUGUCAGAGGUUAAAUUCUUGGAUUUAUUGAAGACUAACUACUGCGAAAGCAUUUGCCAAGGAUGUUUUCAUUAAUCAAGAACGAAAGUUAGGGGAUCGAAGACGAUCAGAUACCGUCGUAGUCUUAACCAUAAACUAUGCCGACUAGGGAUCGGAUGAUGUUAAUUUUUUAAUGACUCAUUCGGCGCCUUACG
rnacentral:rRNA from 1 species